GAUGAACGCUGGCGGCGUGCCUAAUACAUGCAAGUCGAGCGAACAGAUGAGGAGCUUGCUCCUCUGACGUUAGCGGCGGACGGGUGAGUAACACGUGGAUAACCUACCUAUAAGACUGGGAUAACUUCGGGAAACCGGAGCUAAUACCGGAUAAUAUAUUGAACCGCAUGGUUCAAUAGUGAAAGACGGUUUUGCUGUCACUUAUAGAUGGAUCCGCGCCGCAUUAGCUAGUUGGUAAGGUAACGGCUUACCAAGGCAACGAUGCGUAGCCGACCUGAGAGGGUGAUCGGCCACACUGGAACGGAGACACGGUCAAGACUCCUACGGGAGGCAGCAGUAGGGAAUCUGCCGCAAUGGGCGAAAGCCUGACGGAGCAACGCCGCGUGAGUGAUGAAGGUCUUCGGUUCGUAAAACUCUGUUAUUAGGGAAGAACAAAUGUGUAAGUAACUAUGCACGUCUUGACGGUACCUAAUCAGAAAGCCACGGCUAACUACGUG
rnacentral:rRNA from 1 species